rnacentral:rRNA from 1 species
AACGAACGCUGGCGGCAUGCCUAACACAUGCAAGCCGAACGGGUGUAGCAAUACACCAGUGGCAGACGGGUGCGUAACACGUGGGAACCUGCCCAGGGGUUCGGAAUAGCUGCGGGAAACUGCAGGUAAUACCGAAUGUUGCCUGAGGGCUACAGGAGCCAUCCGCCUUCGGCGGGGCCCGCGUCCGAUUAGCUAGUUGGCGAGGUCACGGCGCACCAAGGCGACGAUCGGUAGCUGGUCUGAGAGGAUGACCAGCCACACUGGAACUGAGAUACGGUCCAGACUCCUACGGGAGGCAGCAGUUGGGAAUAUUGGACAAUGGGGGAAACCCUGAUCCAGCAAUGCCGCGUGGGUGAUGAAGGCCUUCGGGUUGUAAAGCCCUUUUAGCGGGGGCGAUGAUGACGGUACCCGCAGAAUAAGCCCCGGCUAACUUCGUGCCAGCCGCCGCAGUAACAC